CUCUAUGGGGCAGCUAUGGGUCGCUAUGGGGUUGCUAUGGGGCGGCUAUGGGUCGCAAUGGGGCGGCUAUGGGGUCGCUGUGGGUCGCUAUGGGGCGCUAAGGGGCAGCUAUGGGGUCACUAUGGCGUCUCUAUGGGGCGGCUGUGGGGUCGCUAUGGGGUGCAGUGGGGUUGCUAUGGGGCGGCUAUGGGGAGCUAUGGGGUCUCUGUGGGUGGCUGUGGGGCGCUAUGGGGUGGCUAUGGGGUCUCUGUGGGUCUCUAUGGGGUGGCUGUGGGGCAGCUAUGGGGCGGCUAUGGGGUGCAGUGGGGUCAGUAUGGGGCGGCUAUGGGCGCUAUGGGGUCUCUGUGGGUCGCUAUGGGGUGGCUAUGGGUCUCUGUGGGUCACUAUGGGGCGGCUAUGGGGUGCAAUGGGGUCGCUAUGGGGUCUCUGUGGGUCGCUAUAGGUCGCUAUGGGGUGGCUAUGGGUCGCUAUGGGGCAGCUAUGGGUCUUGAUGGUCGGCUAUGGGUCGCUGUGGGGUGCAAUGGGGUUGGCUAUAGGGCAGCUAUGGGGCGGCUGUGGGGUGGCUAUGGGUCGCAAUGGGGGGCUAUGGUGUAUCUAUGGGGUGGCUAUGGGGUCGCUGUGGGUCACUGUGGGGUGGCUCUGGGUCGCUAUGGGGCGGCAAUGGGUGUCUGUGGGGUGGCUAUGGGGUGCAAUGUGGUCGCUAUGGGUGGCUAUGGGGCUGCUGUGGGGUCUUUAUGGGUGGCUAUGGGGUGGCUAUGGGUCUCUAUGGGGUGCUGUGGGGUGGCUAUGGGUCUCUAUGGAGCGGUUAUGGGGUCGCUGUGGGGCGCUAUGGGGCAGCUAUGGGGCGCAAAUGGGGU
rnacentral:lncRNA from 1 species